rnacentral:snoRNA from 1 species
CUGUGAUGAACUUACCUAGAUGACGAGUCUGAUUCAGUUUUUCUGAUGCGGACACACACAAACUACCAUUCAUGCAUUUCCUGACC